UGGGGGUUCUGAGGAGAAGGUUGGACUGGCUGGGGGUUCUGAGGAGAAGGUUGGACUGGCUGGGGGUUCUGAGGAGAAGGUUGGACUGGCUGGGGGUUCUGAGGAGAAGGUUGGACUGGCUGGGGGUUCUGAGGAGAAGGUUGGACUGGCUGGGGGUUCUGAGGAGAAGGUUGGACUGGCUGGGGGUUCUGAGGAGAAGGUUGGACUGGCUGGGGGUUCUGAGGAGAAGGUUGGACUGGCUGGGGGUUCUGAG